rnacentral:misc_RNA from 1 species
UUUCGUAGGUGAACUGCGGAGGAUCAUUGAUAAAUAAGUCAACAUUGAUGUUGGCAUUAAUAAUCUCCUACCCUUUGUGAAUUGUGUUGAAAUGUUUAUUUAUUAAGUGUCUUUCCCUAAUGGAAAAAGAAAAGUAGUUUUUGGAAGUUAGGGGAUAGACUUUAAUAGACUUUUUUUAAAUAAACUUAUGUAUUCAUUGUCUAAAAUUAUUUUAUAGUAUAAAAACAACUUUUGACAAUGGAUUCUUGGUUCUCGCACGAUGAAGAACGCAGCAAAUGCGAUAGUAGUGUGAAUUGCAGAAUACGUGAAUCAUCGAAUCUUCGAACGCAUAUUGCACUUUUUUAGUUUACUAAAAAAGUAUGUCUGUUUGAGUAUCAGUAAAAUAUCUCAUAAAACAUGUUUUAUGGUUAUGAGUGUCUUACAACGAUACAAGUUGUUUCACUUUAAAUUUUUUUAAAAUUUGAAUUUUUCUAAUUUUAAAAUAAAUUGGAUAAAAUUUUCCCGUAAAAGGAAUAACCUAACAAUUUAAUUUAAAUUAGAAACUUCAAAAAAAAGGAAUUUAUAAAUAACUUGAUCUCAAUCAGAUAAGAGUACCCGCUGAACUUAAGCAUAUCAAUAAGCGGAGGAAAAGAAACUAACAAGGAUUCCUUAGUACGGCGAGUGAGCGGGAAGAGCUCAAAUUUGAAAUCUUCAAGUUUUACUUGAGAAUUGUAGUUUAAAGAAGUGUUUCUGUUGAAGUUUGGUAAAAGUUCUUUGGAAUAGGACAUCAUAGAGGUGAGAAUCCCGUAUUUGACCAUUAUUUUCAGCUGUGUGAUACACUUUCAAAGAGUCGAUUGUUUGGGAAUGCAGUCCAAAAUGGGUGGUAAAUUCAUCUAAAGCUAAAUAUUGGCGAGAGACCGAUAGCGAACAAGUACGUGAGGAAAGAUGAAAGAACUUUGAAAGGAGAGUUAAACAGUACGUGAAAUUGUCAAAAGGGAAGCGUUUGACACCAGUGUUGUUUUCUCGAAAUCAAUUAAAAGAGUUUGAUUUUGUUGUGUAUUGACCUUAACAGCUUGCAUUUCAAUUUUCUUGCUUUUUUAAUGCACUUUCGUUUAACAAGUCAACAUCAGUUUCUUUUUUGUAAAAGGUCAUUGGAAGGUGCUUUCUUUUCGGAGAAAGUGUUUAUAGCCUUUGACUUCUGCAAUCGGAGAGACUGAGGUCUGCAGCGUAGAUCCUUCGGGUUAGAUACAUUUGUGCUAAGUUAUAGCUUUUAUAGACAACUUGUUGACUAUGAUUAGUCUUGUAGCUACUCGCUUAUGCUAUUU